rnacentral:lncRNA from 1 species
CGUUCCCCUCCGCCUCUCGACUCCGACUGGGAGGGGCCGCCUGCGCAACCCCCCUCCCCAGCCUCCUGCAGAACCAAGGGACCCCCAGCGAGCUGCAAAUUCUAGUCUCCAGCCUCCCGGGUAAACCGAGCACCGCGCCAGUUCGCAGCUGCUGGCCGGGCGCUCCCUAAGGAGAUCUGCGCCCUCCCGGUCCCCCGCCGCCGCCGCCCGACUGUCGGCUCCUGGGACCCUCUUUAGCUUCUCCGCUGCCCCUUCGCCUCUGCCCUCUCAGGACACCCGCCCCGUUCCAACCUCUUCUCCCCUGGUGUUGUGCACGUUCUCCCAGAUUCGAGCACCGGCUCCCGCCUCAGCCCCUCACCCCACUGCGGCAGCCUGCAACCUGACAAGUCGGUGGGGGCUGCGCAGCAGCCUGGCACGCCCCCGCCCGCUGGUGGGGCUCAUCGCAAACACCUGCCAGAGCUCGACCGCGCCGGUAGCCGGGAGUCCCAGCAUCAUGUUUGAUCCUGCCCUCGCCCCGGCGCUGCACCGAAACCUUGCCAGUGGCCUUCAAGGUUCUUCUUCCUCACCAUGGAAGCAAUAUGCAGAAAAAGACCUGAUGCUGAACAUGCUUUGGCCGACUGGGUGCUGCUGAUUUGCAGAUCUCAAUAUGUAUAUCUAUGCUACCAGAGGUUCCACUCAAAGAAAAUGAGCAGUAUUUGCCUCCCCAUUGGAGGUUACAGAGCUUCAGCAAAACCACCAACUUUCUUGAGCUUUGUUCUUUUUAAUUUGCUUUGCAUUGAGGCUAGGGAACUUAAACUGAACUAAGGAUUACUCCCUUUUGUGUUCAUUCAGUAGGUACACAUCUGGUGGUGACUACAUGUGAGAAACUGCUGUGGCAUGUACAAAGGGGAGCUAAAUUAAGAAAAAACAUUAAAAAUGGUCUUUGAACCUUAACACUCACUUUCUAGGACAAAUCUCAGAUACCUACAGUCAGCUCACCUAAGCAAAUGAUGAUAAGUGAAUUUUUGUAGGAGUUCAUGUGAGAAGAACAAGAAGAGAUUGCUUUUUAGAGUACUCAGAUUUCUUAAAAGGGCUUCCAUUUUCCCUAGAAUUACAAGUAUGAUUGAGACAUUACAGAGAUAGUAGGAAAAUGGAAAGGGAGUGACAGGAGCCAAGUUGGGGUAAAAUGUGUGACACUGUCACAAAAUUGGGAGCCACAGAUUCUGUUUUGAUGAAAGAGUUAUAUAUCAGGAACUCACUAGGAAGAACUUCCCACGAGAAUGCAGUUUUCCUAGUUCUAGCAGCCAAUGCAGUAGAUUAAGUGAGAAACAGAGAGAGAGAGAGAGAGAGAGACAGCCCACAAUCAGCUGUCCACCAGCGCACACCAGGACAGCCAACAGACUUCCACUGGGAAAGCCAUUACAUGUAGGGUUCUGACACUGGAGGGUGAAUGUUCUGUCUAGAUGUCCCCCAAAACCUCAUGCACCCACAGGUGGGGCUUCUGGGAGGUGACUGAAUCAUGGUUAUGUGACACUCCUGGAUUAGUCCACUGAUGGAAUUAUAAACCCUGGUAGGAAGAGGUAGGUCACUGUGGACGUGGCCUGGAAGGACAUAUAUCCUUCUUCUCUUGAUCCCUCACUGCUUCUUGCCUGCCAUGCCAUGAACUGAUUCUCCUCUGCCAUGCCGCCCUGCAUUGGAGCCAGCCACCUAUGAAAUGAAACCUCUACAAUUUGAGCCAAAUUAAAUCUUUCCUCCUUUAACUUGUGCAUGUCAGGUAUUUUGUUCCAGCAAUGACACAGUGACUAAAAGAGUGAACAAUAUAAGAGUGGUUUAGAAGCCUUGUUUUGACUUUGUAAAGUCAAUGUAUUAAACUUUUCAGCAGUAACAAACAAAUGUGUGCUAAUGUAAACUCAUAUACUUACAUAUAACAAACAAUGAUCUGGUGUGUGCUAUUCCUUAUACAAGUGUUCCUAUUUCUUAUCACCAUUUUCUCUCUAGCAAACCACAAAGGUAGCACUUCACACAACAGCAAGUAGAUCUUGGGUGUAACGGUCCAUGUGCUUUCUCCACCUUCCUUACAGGACUUCUCAUGUUGCUGAAGAGGAGACAGCAUGGCUCUUCAUCCUCCCUUCACUCUCAGAUGCUGAUGCCACUCUUUAUUUCAGAGCAAAGUAAAAGAGUUGGAAGAUUUUUUUUAAAACCUACUCACUAAACUGGAAAUGUCACUACAUCAGAAACGUUAAUUUAAAAACUAAAAAAAUUCUUCCUAAUUCACAGUAAACCUAAUAUUUAGAAAUAAAAGGCAUUAAAGUAACCCAUAGUACUUUAUCUUACAGAAUCAGGUAAACAGAAUAAAAUCUAACAUGAGAUUAUAU